rnacentral:misc_RNA from 1 species
AGUCGUAACAAGGUAACCGUAGGUGAACCUGCGGUUGGAUCAUUAUCUAUUCAACAAGUCUCUUUCUUAGGCUGACCGUCAGGGAAGUCUAGAAAGAAAGACUUGUCAAUUGAUAUUUGACCUCUUCUAUUCUCUUGUAGGGUUAGGGGAGGUCAAUACCAACACCAAUGUGAACUUCUAUACCAAAAACAACACUUGUUUUUCUCUAUAGUAGACCCCAUCAAGUCCUCUAUAGAAACAAAAACAAGUGUCUAUACAAAAAAAACACUAUAACCCAAAAAAGUCUAUACAAUUUCAGUAAUGAAAGAAUAUAAAAAAACAACUUUUGACAACGGAUCUCUUGGCUCUU